rnacentral:lncRNA from 1 species
AUAGUGAAAAAAUAUAAUGACAAUAAUGCGACGAAAAGGCGAGAUAAAUAUGAAGAUAGUGAUAAUUAUCAUUACAUUUUCCUUUUUUUAUAUACAAGGAACGCACAAUAUGCUUAAGUAAAAGAUAAGGUAAAUACUAAUAGACAAAAUAAAGAAUAUCAUAUAUACUAGAAUGACAAGGAUGUCUUUAUAUAUGUAUUUGUAUGUAUACAUAAGGUAUCUAAGUAUAUAUAUAAAUAUAUAUAUAUAUAUAUAUAUAUAUAUAUAUAUAUAUAUACAUAUAUAUAUACAUAUAUAUAUACAUAUACAUAUACUUACUUAUAAAUUCAGAUGUAAGUAUGGAAUCGAAUGUUUUGAUUAGUCUUAAGGAAUACUUAACGUGUUUAUCAUAGAGGAAAUACUAUUAAUCGAAAUUAUUAACUUUUAAGUUUUUAUAUGACUAGUGUGUGGCAAAGCGGAGGUAAACUUAGAUUUUAUUGCAUGUUGCACAGACUGUAGCGAUGCAACUUGCAGUGUUGAAGGAAAGUUGAAUACUUUUAUUCAUUGUUAUUAUUUUUUGUUGCAUUAUUAUCGUCGAUUGUGGAGAUUUUUUUGAAUUUUGAAGUGAUAGAGAGAGAGAGAGAGAGAGAGAGAGAGAGAGAAAGAGAGAGAGAGAGAGAAAGAGAAGUAACAUCAAAGUUAAGGAACAAUUCAUGACGCAUAGUAAUCCUUAGGAAAUACCAGGUUAUCGUAUAUCUCGCUAUCAUUCCAAGCGCUGUUGUGACUCGGGGAAGGGAAAGAAAGAAAGAAAGAAAGGAAAAAAAAAGAAACAGAUAAUAGUAGGAAAAAAAAUGUAGCGAAAUGGAUCAUAUUUUUUUUUCUCGAGUUUUGUUCUCGAACGCAAAUAAAAGCAAAAGCACAACAACAAAAUGAGUACGAACGUAGGGAACAAACAAACAUUAAGACCAACCCAAACAUAGACAAACCAACAAAUAAACAGGAAACUCACACAUGCCAUAACAACAAAAACGAAACAGAUGAAAUACAUAACUCUAUCUAAGUAUAUUCAUCUUGAAAAAAAAAGUUAGAUAAACAAUGACAUUUUAUCCUUUGAUUUAGAAGUAGAAUAUGCAGUAGCUCAGUACCUCUUCACUAUAUUCCCUCGAUCUCAUCUCAUUACAGUGAUAGGCCUACGCUAGAACAAUAGGCCUUCAAUUAUGGAGUGGAUUUACCUCGUUUUUGUUACUGUUUGUCUUCCUGUCUUUCGUUGUUAUCUUUUCUAUACGCAUGCAUUUUCCUUUCGUUCAAAGCUAAGGGUAGGAGAAAAGACCUGCAUGUAAAACGAGAGAGUCUGUGAUAAGCUUAAGAACCAGAUAAGUAUGAAGAAUAAAAACGGAAGAGGAAGGAAAAGAUACAGUAAUCUAUAUGUUGUCAUGUCCAAAGCUAUGUACACAAAACAGUGUUGAGGCUGAGGUACUGCAUCUUUACUUAUUUCAUAACGAUAAAAUAGGUGAAAAACAAGAGCAAAGACAAAGAACAAAAUAAGAAGACGUAACAGAAAAAGAAGAAAAAAAAAAAAAUCGAAUUUGCGUGGAAAAAGGGCCUUAGAUCGAUCCAAACACGAUGGCGUACGUGUCCUUCUUGUCGCCAGUAUUCAAGACUUAUGUAAACAUGUUAAAUGUGUAUGUGUAAAAAGUAUAUAUGUACGUAUGCAUGAUGUCCCUACGUUGGGACAUCCAUACAGUUGGAGAGGUGAUAACGGACGUCCAAAUAUACAAAAUACAUUGUGAUAUAUUAUGAAUUACACGAUAAAGUAGUGAUCUUAUCUCCUGCAGGUUACAGUUUAUAGUCUGACGUGCAUUCCUCCUCCUUCAGAGCGAGAGAGAUUUUUCCCUCUGAAGGAGAGGAACGCUGGGUGUUGCCCAAGGGCGCCUCGAGGGAGUUACUGUGUGAUAUAUAAGUGACUGAAUAUAUUGUUUCCCCUUCCUUUCGUGCUAAGAAAAAAAAAGAAAAUCUUUUAGAGUUAGGAUACAACGAAGACAGAGUUCAUAUAUUGUGUUUUGUCUUUUUUUUUUGUGAGGGGGGAGGGCAAGGGAGGGGGACUCUAAAUUUAAGGAAAUAAUGCGCCCAGAAUUGCUGAGAAUGAUUGAAGAUUUUCGGUAUUAAAGAAAAUAGAGAGUGAGAGACAGGAAGAGAGAGAGAGAGAAUGAGACUUCGAAUGGGAGAGAAGAAAAAAAGAAAAAAAAAGGGAAGUGACUUUAAUACUGAAAGAUCUUACUUCAUUCAUGCUUGUAUAGAAUAUAAGACAAAUUUAGUAUUAUUAAGUAUUACACACACUUACGCAAACAUAAACACCUUUUUUUCUAUAUACAGUAUAUAUACACUGUCUGUUUGUCAUAGGUAUUUUAUUAAGGAUGCUUACAAUCACUGUACAGUAUACCAGAAUCAUACUUUAAGAUGUGGUUUAGUUUAAUGUAUGACCUUUAUUUACCCUUUGCAUAAGAGCUCAUUUUGGAGUUAGAAGGCGGUGCUUUGGUUUCUAGAAUAUACCCGUGCCAAAGUUUGUUUUUUUCUCUCUUCAUUUUUACUUUAUUUUCUUCCACAAAUCCCUCAUUCGUUUCUUUAACCCAUUGCUUCACAGAAACUUCCCCCCUAUUCUUGACUGUUUUCUUUAACCAUUUACAACCUUUUUUAUUUUAUUUUUUAUUUUUUGUUAAUCCUUCCUUUUACUCAUCAAGUCUCUUCUAAAAGACCGAAUUCCAAUUUCUAAAAAAAAACAAAUCAAGAGGAAAGUAAAAUAAUGCUUCAAUUGUACAAAGGCCAACAAAAACUAAAAAAAACAAGAAAAAAAAAGGACCAGAAAUUGAACAAGACGUUCCAUCUACCACACACACACACGCACACACACACACACACACACACACACACACACACACACACACACACACACACACACACACACACACACACACACACACACACACACACACACACACACAUUUCCAAAAGCACACACACAUAGAAGACAUAAACCUCCCUACCGUUACAUUCACAUAACAAAGUGUUUUACGGUUUAACCAGGUUAGUUUAAGAUCUAAGAUUAAGAGAGACUAAGUGUGUACAUACAACAAAGAAAUAUCAAACAAUACCUGACUAAUAACCAUAAGGAAAUAAGACUGUGAGUGUGUACGUACGUAUAAUGGUAUAAUGGUAUAGCUAUGUCGUCAAGAUCAUCAGGGUCAGGUCAAGAGAGGUCAGUCCACGACUCGUGUGACGAGAGGAAGCCAAAAAAAGGAGUAGGAUUCUAUGGGUUAGAUAGAUAGAGAGAGAGAAAGAGAGAAAUAGCGAGAGAUAGAGAGAUAGGUAGAUAGAUAGAGAGAGAGAAGAAGAGAGAAAGAGAUGGAGAAAGAGCGAGAGGAGGAGGAAGAAGAAAGGAGAAGAAGGAAUGUAAAGAAGCCCGUGCAAAUUCAGUGGAAGAAAGGGGAGAAGGUAAGAGAGAGAGAGAGAGAGAAAGAGAGAGAGAGAGAGAGAGAGAGAGAGAGAGAGAGAGAGAGAGAGAGAGAGAGAGAGAGAGAGAGAGAGAGAGAGAGGAAGAAGAGUAGCAGGCACAGUAAAGAGAGACGGAGGGAGGGACGGAACGAGGGAGUGAGGGAGAGAGGGAGGGAGAGAGAGAGAGAAGCGGAGGGAGGGUGGGAGGAGGGUGUAAGAGCAAAGGGUUGAAGAGUAUUCCAGGAACAGCAGGAGCGCGGGAGGAGAGGGGGGAGGGGGAGGGGGCGGGGUUGAAGCUGAUGGAACCUUCCAGUUAGAUAUAAUGCACUUCCAAGGGAGGGGGGGGGGGAGGGGGGGGGGGCUGUCCAGAGGCUUCCAAGCGUUGCCACAUGGACACCUGAUAGCCUCUGGAUGUUGCUUCCAUGACUUGGUUUUAACCUUUUGAAUUCUUGUAAGUCUUUUCAUCAGCUUAUCUUAUUUUUGUAUUCAUGUCUAUAUAGAUUUUUUUUCUUGAAUGGAAGCCAAAACGAGACCGGAACUGAAAGAAAACUUGAAGGUGAAUGUUCCGCUUUCUUUCGCUCUCUCUCUCUCUCUCUCUCUCUCUCUUCAGAUUGAUUUAGUGAGGAACUGCACAGUUAGCAAUUUGUAGAAACCUAUUUUUAUUCUUCCUCUUUUUGUGAAGGGGUUUCGGGUGAGGGGGGGAAGGGGGAAGGGGGAAGGGGAAGGGGGGUAUAGGAUGGGGAAGGGGGAGGGGGGUUAAGUGUAGGAUGGAAUGAGAACAAAGGGGGGGGGGGAGAGAAUACAGAUGAGACAGAUCGUGUUUGAAACUUAAUCAAUUUAAUUGGAUUUCGGAACAUAAAACGUUUGUGACUAGCAUUAAUCUCCCGGGGAUGUUUAAAGCGAUGUCAAUUUUGCAACAGUGGGAAGAGGAAAGGUAAAAGGGGUCGAGCCAAGGCAUAGUAGCAUUACGUUAGCAAAUAAUUUUGACCCGAUGGUAUUGCACAUGAUUGCACCAAUAAUUGAGAGAGAGAGAGAGAACGUAACGAAUAGCACUUGAUCCUCUCUGUCAGUCUACGAUUAAACCUAGCCUAAUGACCUGAUGAUCUUGACAUGAUAUAUAUAUAUGCAUUGUAUAUACAGCUGUACAGUUGAGGAAUAAAGUCCCAAAGGUUGCUAAUACCUCCAUACUAUAGACCCGUCAGCAAGUACUCUGGGACAAUUUUUUUUUUCUCUUCUUUUUUUUUCUUCUCUUCCCCAACUGGACAUCAAUGUACAUGUGAUAAUUAAUUUUAAAGAGAAGUCGAGGGGUAGAACUGGUGUGAUGUGAUCUUCACGUACAAACUAAUUCAAGAAGGAGAGGGUGUAGUUUCCUAAGAAUGACAAACAGACGAACACACGAGUACGCAAGAGGGAGUAGUAGUUAUAGUGGAGAAUCCAGGGAAGGGAAGUGGGCACAAGGAGAGAGAGAGAGAGAGAGAGAGAGAGAGAGAGAUACAAGUAAACAAAACAUUGCUCUGUUUUUUUUUUUUUUUUUUUUUUUUUUUUUUUUUUUUUUUUUUCUUCAUGGUGUGUGAUCAUUAUCCAAAUAAGUCUAGGUACAAACAAAUGAGUGAUGACUUUUCUCUCACAAUGACUUUGAUGAGAAGAUGAGAGAAGGAAAAUAUCUUUAAAAAAAUGUACAAUUCAUAUCAUGUAUGGGAUAUAGUACAACUUAGAUGGUUAAGUACUGUACAGAAGAAAAACAACAACAAACGUUAUUUAGUCCCAAAUGCUGUCACCUAAAUAAGUUUAUUUCGAAUAAGGAAAUGUUAACAUCUUUUCGUACUGACUAAGGAAUCUGAAUUCAUGUAGUAGUUAGGAUGUGUUUGUGUUAAAUAACUAGAUGUUAACGAGUAUAUGUAACUGUGUAUAGGAUUAGUAACUAACGACCAUCGUAGGUGUUAAGACUUACCAUUAAUUACAGUACUGGUAAACGGUGUGAAUGAUAAUAACAAAGGCUUGUGAAAUAUACAGAAUAUGAACUACAAAGUUACUGUACAAAGAGGAAUGAUGUCGGAGAGAACUUCACAUAAACUGACACUUCUGCUUUUGAUAGGCACAGACAGGGCUGUUAACACUCUCACAACACGAGGGAAGAUAAGAAACCACCGUACAUUACACACAAAAAAGAUUAGAUUACUGAUGCACACACAACAUGUAUGUUUUCUAAGCUUAUGUAUGCAUAGAGGAAUGGAGUUAUUUCCAUUCAAUGUUUUAAACAGAUUUUUAAAUAACAGUACCACAAAAUGAUAAUGAUGUUAUGGCUUAUUUUUCGUCUUUUUGCAUUACAUUCAUUAUUUUUUUAUUUCGAGAUCUGUGCUUGCACUUACAUCCACCUCGUAGCACACUGAAAUAGUGUCUAAUCUUUUCCUAAUCCCAUUUCUCUCUAUCUUUCUCUGUUCACACUCUAUCAAACUUAUCUACCCUGCAGUUACCACCAUUUCAUCCCCCUUUUCUACCUUUCGCUCCCCCCCCCCCCUCUCCUCUCCCUCUCCCAACCACACCACACUUAGUCCUUCAUCCCAUCAUCUUUAUGUUGUAACUGUCAAAGGGAACCUCAAACCUAUCACGUAAGUUUAGCGAAGGUGCGCCUUGGCUGGUUCGAAAGGGAAUAGCAGUGCACAUGCAAAUGCAUAUGGUAAUAAAGCGAUUUAUUCUGUGACGGUCCACUUUAUUGCAUACGACGAACGUCCAAUUAUAUCGAGAGGUAUAAAAUAUUACAUAAAACACACACACACACACACACACACACACACACACACACACACACACACACACACACACACACACACACACACACACACACACAUACACACACACACACUUAUACAGGAGGCAACCGAUACCUCGAUAUGUUCCAUUAAUAAUAUCUGUAUCAAGGCACAUUUCUAAUUAAUAUUUGAACAAGACAAUCACCACGGCUGGUUGCAAAGAAAGUCAUCUAUGAGACUGCAAGAGUGACAUGGAAUUUCUAGUUGUUUUUUUGUAUGGUGUUGAUUUGCAUAAGAUUGAAGGGAAUGGUUGUGUGGUUGAUGGCUUCAUAGGCUCCGCAGGUUAGAGUGAUUUAGAAAAGAUGGCUUGGUUUUGAGGUAUUACUAGAGAGGGAUGCUUUUUUUUUAUAGAACGUGCUUUGCUUUUGGAAAAUGCAUUCUUAAUUGGAAUACAUUAUAUCAGCAAGCUCUUUUGAUUUUUCUUUUUUAUAAUGUCAUAAUAUCAAGUUGCUUAGCUUCUAUACUGUGCAAAGGUUCAAGGUCCAAUCUACCUUUUAAGAAUAUUUGAAGAGGAUAGUAUUUCUGAUAUCACAUUUGAUAUAACUCUUCCAUAUCUCCCUUCACCCUUUAAAGACGAAGCCAUUUUUGGUGAAAGAGUUAUCUCAACCUAUAUGUAUGUAUGUUAUCGCGACCCUUUGACUUAUUAUAUAGACUUACUGACUGAACUUACGAUCUUCUGGAAUUUCGCACAUGCUUUUGCCUUGAAGACCUGACCUUGCCUGACUUAUUUUCAGACACCGGAUUUAUAUUUCUUUUGUAAGGUUGAAGAAAAGAGAAGUAGAAAGUUGCUUGUAAUUUUUGUUUUUGGCAGGAUAUGUAAGUAAUGAUUUAAGAAAGACGAGAGAGAAAAUAUUUUCAAUUGGAAUAAGUAAGAAGAUGGAAAAGAGAAAACAAAUAGAAUAUCAAGCAAAGAAAGUAAAAACAACAAAAAACGAAGUACAAAUCAGUGAAAAUAAGAAAUUCGGGAAAAUAAUAAAGUAACAUCGAUCUCAACAUUAUGUGUAAGAUCUGACUGACAUGUAAACAAAAUGGUUCUUUUCUGGAAAUAAUAUUUUCGAAUUCGAUUGUGAAUGACAAAUGCCACUUCCGUUUUAUCUAAAUUGUACAAAGACCAGAUUCAUCCUAGAUAAAGCAAGAAAUUAAUAAAUACGUAAUUAAAUAAAAAACGAACGAAGCAGAAUCAUUCAAAUAAUAACAAUUCAUGAGAAAUAGUAUUCCACUGGCGGCAGCUGCAUCGGGCAUCAAGAUUACGGACUAUAUAUGGAUAUAUAUAUUUUUUCAUUCCUUCUUAAUGAACUGAUGGGCUGAUUGGCAGGUAUUUCGGUAUAUAUUGCAGGAGGUGUGCAAACGAUGACACCCACCCACCCCCCACCCUCCCUUAACCCCCUCUAGACAUACCCCCACCCCCACCCCACCCCUCCCUCCUCCUUCUCCAGCCACACUACCCAUCAUCCUUUGACCGAUAAAAGGUAUUACUUUUUUUUUUUUUUUUUUUUUUUUACACUUUCGUGAACGCAUAGGAAUAGGUUCUGGUGAAAGAAGAGGAAAAGGGAUAGGCGGAAAGGAUAGAUGAAAAUAAGGCAGAAGUUGCGUUCGUUGUGGAUAGAAAAUCGUUCUCUUAGGGAAUAACAUCGUCUUUGAAACGAGUAGCUUUUGUAUUUUCUUUUCUUUCUUUCUUUUUUUUUACUUCUUCUUCCUUCUUUACUGAAUGUCAAUAAGAAUGAUAAUUUACCUUGGAAGAUUUUUUAAAAAAGAAAAUCAUGUACCGAUAUUGCAGGUUCUAUGUUUUCUGUCACUUCGUCAUUCUUUCUUUUUGACUCUUAUCUCAUUUUAUCAUCUUUAUUUCUAUUCUUCCUUGUUCCUGUUUCUCGCUGUCUAUCGUGUCUUUAAUCUAUCAUAUUUCAGAAAGUAAAAAACGAAGUCCAAAAAGAUUUUCCUGUAUAUAUAUAUCAAUCGCUUUAGAAUGUUGUUGGUACUUGCACUCAGUCAGAAGAAAAGAAACAGUAGUAAUUGUUGUUAAUAUUAAUAAAAUGUAAAAAAAAAUAAUAAUGAUAAUGAUCUGUCUCUUCGCCUCUUAAUCAGAUACCAAAAUAUUACAGAGAAACUUUUCCUCUUUCUUUUAUCUCCCAAUUUCUCCGACUCCCCUUACUUACGUCAUUCUUAUUCGCUGUAAGGGAAUAUAUAUUAUUAUUACUAUUUUUCCUUAGAUCCAUUUUUUUUUUUUUUGUCUCUUUCUGCAUCCGGGUUCUGCCUUGUAAGACGUGUGUUUCCCUGAGAGACGUUUUUCUUAAAGUUCUUGUGUUGCUGACUGGCUGUUUAAGACCAAACUGCGUCCGGCUUUUGCAACUGCCAGGCCUAAGAAAAUAUAUAUAAAAAAAAACAUUUAUAUAUACAUAUAUAUUUACAUCUAUAUAUAUGUGUGUGUUAAGUGGCAUUUUGUCUUUGAGAUGUAACAUCUUGCGUGUUCUAACGUUUCAAAAAGGUGAAUAGAUUUUCCCUUUGUUCUUUGGUAAAAGACAAGUUGAAUUUGUUUUUCCUUUCACUUUGAUUUUUGUAAACAACGGUCGACAAUUGCCCCCCCACCCCACACCCCUACCCUUAAGGGAAAAAAAGUAAACUCCUUCGAACCUUAUAAAUCCUCUAAGACAAUUUUCCUCUUUGGAAUAACGUUCUGAAUUGUACAGUAAGAGUGUAAUUUUUUUAUCUGUAGGAUCAAUAUGACAAUAAGUAAUCAAUUGUACUGGAAAGACAAUGACACACCCUCUACGUAUUUUCUUUUUAUUUUCUCUUUCUGUCAUAUUAUUAUCUCAGAACCAUUGGUUAUCCACACAAAUUCCCUAAAAAAAUAUCAACAUACAGAACUAAAACCAUAAAUACAAUUCGGCUUCUAUAACCAAUAUCACAAUAUAAAAACGAUAGAACAUGUCAACAAAAUGAAAAAAACAAAACAAAAACAGAUUCAUAGUCAUUGUCCUUCCAAAAAAAUCUAUGACCAUAAAAAGUGUGAAGAAGGUUCUACCACUGAGUUCCUGUUUGUUAAUAGAGCCAAUGAGAACGAAUUUUCUUAUAAAAUUCUCGGCCCUGAUUGGUUCUCUGUGUAAGUGUGCUUGUAUAUAUAGCAUAGACCUUAGAGCAUUGGUUAAGCGGAAGCUAUCGGCAGUCACACAAUAUGGCUUAUUAUAUGGGUCAAAUCUCCGUGAAAUUCAUCCUUAUGAUAUGCAAAUUAGUUUAGGUAAACUUCAUUCCAACCAUGAAUUGCUGUUUGAAUGCAAUGUCUUCCUCUUCCGAGAUCUUGCAAUUGAAAAAAAGGAAAAGGAUUUUUUUAAGGAUAUAUCACAAACACACGUACAGACAAAAAAGAGAAUCAUUUCGCUUUAUUUAAAACGAUCAGUUUCUUAAUUCACAAAUAUUUUUCACAAAGGAACACAUAAGACAAAGAUUUCUCCCUGGCUUAUGACAUCCAUAUCAUGCCACAGCUCUCUUAAGAAACUAAAAUUCAAAUCAAAGUAACAUCUAAUAACAUCAAUAGAACAAACAAAAAAAAAUGUCACACUCAAAAUCAACCAAUCACUAAACACCCUGAUCAAAACAUGUAUUCGAAUCGACCAAUUGCGAAAUACCUUGAUCAAAACAAAUUCAAAAUCAUCCAAUGACGAUACACCUUGAUCAAAACAGACAUUCGAAUCAACCAAUCAUGAAACAGCUCGAUCAAAACAUGGCAUUCAGCUCAACCAAUCACCGCUCGCGAAAUCCGACUACCUUCAUCAUGGCAAUCUGUAAACGACCAAUGACUGGCCGAUUACUUCCCGCUUCCAAGUUCUCGCGUCUUGCUAAGAGUACUUAUGUACCUGACUCUAUGUUAAGCACCGACGCUACUCCUGUGCUCUUAAAAAACUCUGGAUGUGAAAAAAUCUUCAAAUUAUUCUGUGGCUAAAUUAUUUGUUCUUUGGGUUCUUGAUUGCUUCCAAUCUUUCGUCUGUUCUUAAAGUAAGAAUUAAAGAUUUACUUGUGAUUUCAAAUCCGAUACAAUUAGGUGCAUUUGCUUUACAAACUCCUAAUCUUAUCACGGUUAUCGAAAUUCUCCUAUUUGAUCUGUUCCUCAAAAAAAUGAUUCAAUAUACUAAAUAAUUUAUUUUGAUUUUCCUUAAUCUCUCCCACUUCAAGAAGAGCACUUCAAAGGUAUUUUUCUCACUGUUUUUGAUGGUAUUCCAAUGGUGUAAUUCACACACACACACACGUACGUCAACUCUUGAGAUGAAUUUUUACAAAGAGCACGGGAUCGGAGUCAAAAUGCGCGGUCAAGUGGUUCGUAUUUAAAUACACCAAUCGGAUAGCUGGAUGAGGGUUCCAACACUGUGUACAGUACUUCUUUUUGGGAUGCGAUCAGCUGUUAUGGGCAUUCGAUGGGUUUCGGAACUACUUGUAUUCUCGAUUCUCUUUUGUUCUUGAUCAUUCCUCCGCGCCGUGAUUCUCUAUUGUUUCCUGGUUUUCUGAUAAGCAAUCGAUAUGAGAUAGAACGAUUUUUUUUUUUCUUCUCCUUUUCAAUUCUAAGAAUCAUGUCAAUGUCUACGAUUCAAAAAUAAUAGUAAGGAUACUAUUCCGAUGUCAAAUAACUCACACCAUUCCUCCUAACUAAUCAGAGAGAAAUAGUAGAGCAAAUAAAAAGAUCGAGUAGUGAAUUAAAAACAGUCUAAUCCCCACAAUGGCUGAUCAUGUCGCCCAUAUUUGUGUAGAAACCUUUGCAUCAACUCCUGAUUCUGUCUAAUUUCCGAAGGCUCACUUUAAACUAGAGAUCGGGCGUUGCCUAUUAAUUUUAUAAGAUGACUGCAUAUUUUAGGUAGAUUUCCAAACAGUAUGAGAGAAAAAAAAACAGAGAGAGAUUCAAGAGGAAGAACUUUCCCGCGACAGGAAAACAAAAUCUCAUCGACAAGCGCACGUGGCUGGACCGAAGAACAAGACAAACUGGAAUCGUGUGUAUAAAAUAAGAUUUAUUGUAUUGUGAAGAGAAAGGCGUUGGUGGUGAAGUUUUACAUGGUUAAUUUUUAAGAUGAUCUUAUUUUUACUUCUAAAAUAGAAAGGGGAUAAAUUUAAGGCCUGUUUUUUAUAAAUAUAUAUAUAUAAGAAUAAGAUAUUUCUUUUUUAUGUGACGAAAGAUACUAAGGAGCAGCCCUCACAUUCUCUUUCCUUCUUGAAAUGGUACAUAAUUAUGAUGAUUAUUAUGACAAUGUCUUUGAAUGAAGAAAUGAUACAUAUAAGAUAUAUUUUGUACAUUAUCUCCUAAGAUUUCAGCUGUCUGUGCUCACCCUUUUCUAAACUUGGACAUGUAACCGAAUUUGGUAUAGAUGGUGCUAGUUAAACUCUUUUUUUUUCUUUUUUUUAUAUACAUGAUGUAAUAUGUGUGGAUUAUAUAAGAAUCUUUUAAAAAAUAUAGCAUUGUAAUCAAUGUUUGCACAAUCUGUGUGAUUUGUACUGUAUUUCUAUUCUUAAUGGCAUACCAAAGCUGCCACAGGUUAGAUGUGUACUUCAAGGGCCAGAUUGUAUGUUGGUUGUAUAAUAUUUUGAUCUUUAUGGAUGUGCAAGAGAGAAAAGAAGGAAAGAGUCAGAGGGUAAACUGUUGAAUUUUUACCAUAACCAAAAAAAGAAAGAAAAAAAAAAGCAAAUGAUCAGCUUUCAUGUUUUGAAAAAGUGGAUAUUGGUAUAUUGCUUUUUCCAUGACUUUUUUCAUUUAUUGUUAUUAUUUAUGAUUAUUAUCAUUAUUUAUUUUUGUUACAAAAAAUACAUCAGUUUUAAUUAUUAAUUUCUCAAGUAACAAAACUCAGACUUUCUUUUCUUGUAAAAGACAACAAAAAAAGAGCAAAACUUAAAAUAUUCAAAUUAUCCUCUGAUUCUUUUCCGAGAAACUCGGUAAAAAUGUUAUGAAUGUCGAUACAAAAUAUGAAUAAAAAAUGUAAAAGUCUCCCCAAUGAACUGAAACAAAGAAAACAGAGAAAAAAAGGUAAAAAUUCCCCACAUAAUUUUUUUUUCUAUAUUUUUUUUCUCUAUAAAAAAUAAAAUAUCAGUUAUAAUUGAUAUUGGUCAUUAAUGUUAAUUAUUAAUUAUACUUUUUGCUAUUGACGAAGGUAAUGGUUCGGUGUUAACAUCAAGGAAAUGAGAGAUAUAAGAAAACUUGGCACCCCAGAGGGAAGCAGUGAUCCAACAAAAUAUAUUAAACAAAUAAAUAAACCACUGUAAACAAAGAAACUUAAAUUCAACGCAAAAUUUUCAACAUUUCAGAAAGAAUCGUAUAAUUUUAUUUUAUUGAUACUAUUAUUAGAAUUGGAUU